rnacentral:rRNA from 1 species
AGAGUUUGAUCCUGGCUCAGGAUGAACGCUAGCGACAGGCUUAACACAUGCAAGUCGAGGGGCAGCAUGAAAGGUAGCAAUACUUUUUGAUGGCGACCGGCGCACGGGUGAGUAACACGUAUGCAACCUGCCCAUUGCAGGGGGAUAAGCGGAAGAAAUUCCGUCUAAUACCGCGUAAUAUCCUAAAGGGGCAUCCCAUUAGGAUUAAAGAAAUUCGGCAAUGGAUGGGCAUGCGGCGCAUUAGCUAGUUGGGGGGGUAACGGCCCACCAAGGCGACGAUGCGUAGGGGUUCUGAGAGGAAGGUCCCCCACACUGGUACUGAGACACGGAUCAGACUCCUACGGGAGGCAGCAGUGAGGAAUAUUGGUCAAUGGGCGAGAGCCUGAACCAGCCAAGUCGCGUGAGGGAAGACUGCCCUAAGGGUUGUAAACCUCUUUUGUCUGGGAGCAACGGUCUUACGCGUAAGACUCUGAGAGUACCAGAAGAAAAAGCAUCGGCUAACUCCGUGCCAGCAGCCGCGGUAAUACGGAGGAUGCGAGCGUUAUCCGGAUUUAUUGGGUUUAAAGGGUGCGUAGGUGGAAUGUUAAGUCAGUGGUUAAACUGCGGGGCUCAACCCCGUAUCGCCAUUGAAACUGGCGUUCUAGAGUGGGCGAGAAGUAUGCGGAAUGCGUGGUGUAGCGGUGAAAUGCAUAGAUAUCACGCAGAACUCCGAUUGCGAAGGCAGCAUACCGGUGCUCAACUGACGCUGAGGCACGAAAGCGUGGGGAUCAAACAGGAUUAGAUACCCUGGUAGUCCACGCAGUAAACGAUGAAUACUACCUGUUUGGGUCGCGUAAGACUUGAGCGGGACAGCGAAAGCGUUAAGUAUUCCACCUGGGGAGUACGCCGGCAACGGUGAAACUCAAAGGAAUUGACGGGGGCCCGCACAAGCGGAGGAACAUGUGGUUUAAUUCGAUGAUACGCGAGGAACCUUACCCGGGCUCAAACGUAACAGGGAUAAUUUGGAAACAGAUUAGUCAGCAAUGACCUGUUACGAGGUGCUGCAUGGUUGUCGUCAGCUCGUGCCGUGAGGUGUCGGCUUAAGUGCCAUAACGAGCGCAACCCCUAUCGAUAGUUGCUAACGAGUUAAGUUGAGGACUCUAUCGAGACUGCCGGCGCAAGCUGUGAGGAAGGCGGGGAUGACGUCAAAUCAGCACGGCCCUUACGUCCGGGGCGACACACGUGUUACAAUGGCGGGGACAGCGGGAAGCCACCUGGCGACAGGGCGCGGAACCCGAAACCCCGUCUCAGUUCGGAUUGGAGUCUGCAACUCGACUCCAUGAAGCUGGAUUCGCUAGUAAUCGCGCAUCAGCCAUGGCGCGGUGAAUACGUUCCCGGGCCUUGCACACACCGCCCGUCA